GAGAAUAAUAUCCGAUAGAUCAUAAUUCCUGGAAUGGUUUAUGGUCCAAAUGAUUUAUCGCCAUAGGAUGGGACUGCGGCCUAUCAGCUUGUUGGUGGGGUAAUGGCCCACCAAGGCUAUAACAGGUACGGGCUCUGAGAGGAGAAGCCCGGAGAUGGGUACUGAGACACGGACCCAGGCCCUAUGGGGCGCAGCAGGCGAGAAACCUUAGCAAUGUGCGAAAGCACGACUAGGUUAAUCCGAGUGAUUUCUGCUGAAGAAAUCUUUUGUCAGUUCUAAAUCUACUGGUGAAUAAGGGGUGGGCAAGUCUGGUGUCAGCCGCCGCGGUAAUACCAGCACCUCGAGUGGUUAGGAGGUUUAUUGGGCCUAAAGCAUCCGUAGCCGGCUUUGCAAGUCUCCGGUUAAAUCCAUCUGCUUAACAGAUGGGCUGCCGGAGAUACUACAUAGCUAGGGAGCGGGAGAGGUAGACGGUAUUCGGUGGGUAGGGGUAAAAUCCUCUGAUCCAUUGAGGACCACCAGUGGCGAAGGCGGUCUACCAGAACGCGUUCGACGGUGAGGGAUGAAAGCUGGGGGAGCAAACCGGAUUAGAUACCCGGGUAGUCCCAGCUGUAAACGAUGCAAACUC
rnacentral:rRNA from 1 species